UACGAAGGGGGCUAGCGUUGCUCGGAAUCACUGGGCGUAAAGCGCACGUAGGCGGAUUGCUAAGUCAGGGGUGAAAUCCUGGAGCUCAACUCCAGAACUGCCUUUGAUACUGUCGGGCUAGAGUGCGGAAGAGGCGAGUGGAAUUCUUGGUGUAGCGGUGAAAUGCGUAGAUAUCAAGAGGAACACCUGAGGUGAAGACGGGUUGCUGGGCCGACACUGACGCUGAUGCGCGAAGCCAGGGAGCAAACGGG
rnacentral:rRNA from 1 species